AACGACGGAUGUAGUGGUUAGCACAUGGGAUUUUGAUUGAGAGACUCUGUGAAAUCUGGAGGUUGCGGGUUCGAGUCCCGCUGGGGGUUU